AUGCCGAUGUUUGUGCCGGCACCGGAGACCGUGACCACAACUCGUGGGCAAGGUGCUGGUGUCAGCGACAUCGCCCGUGUUGGCCCCUUGAGUUUUGGACCUGCCGCGCUCUGGUUCUGGAAGCUGCCAUUCCCAACGAGCCCCUCCAGCAGCGUUCAUCUCGCAAUUCAAGUUCUGCAAACUGUCAAAAUUAUGUUCAUCUUUGUGAUUUCAGUUUGGAUCUGGGUGCUUCUGGCUGUUUCUGGAGUUCAGGUUCAAGUUAACCACGGAGGUGACUCAUCCUUUAUUUCUGUGAGAGAAGCCAAGAAGGACGAGAUUGUCAAGUCAGCGAUCGAGGUGCAGACAGGUCGGGAAGGUGUGGAGGCUCCUAGAGGAAGUGUUGGAGGCCGAGCAGCAGCAAUAAUGAUCUGCUACUGGACCAGCCAAGUUUUGAGAGCAUAUUCAGUAAAUCUUGGUUGCCCAUAUCUUGGCAUGGCAUGUCUUCUCAUAGCAUGCCGCAGGGCCCAGGCGAAGGAAGAGAGAAAGAGAGAGGAAGGGAGAGAGGGGUGGGUGGAGGGAGAGAGCGGAUGGGAGAUAGAGAGGGAGGCAGGGAGAGAGAGGGGGUGGGGGUUGAGGGAGAGAGGAAAAGGAUAUGUGUUUGCUAUUUUUUCCCUAAAGGCAGAUCUUGCCAAGAUUGAUGAGUUGAAGGCGAGAACAAACUACUACACUACCCAUCAACUUAUACAGAGUUGUACUGUGGUGAUACAAAGAUAUGGUCUUGACCCUACUCAAGCUCGUCCACACCGAUGUCAUGGUAGCUGCUUCUGCGAGUCUCUUGUCAUCUUCUUCGCCGCAGACUCGGUAAAUCUCUCGGUUUACUUCUCCUCUUUCUCUCUUGAGCUUUGUAGAAAGUGGGCUAGGUGGGGAGGCCGAGGGCAAAGUGCAGCAGGAGGUCACCACAUCCGCUUCCCACAGCUGCGGACGACGAUAAGGAGGUGGUGGGUGACAUGGGCAAAGAGUGCUUGGAGUGGAUGUGGUGGUAAUCAACGCACGGGCAUACAACUAGUGAUAGGUAGGCGGCAACAGGCAGAGGCAGACGAUCUGAUGAUUGGGCGCCGGUCGUUCGUAGCUUUAUGGGAGCGGUCGAGUGGAGCAGUAUGGCAGGCGUCCGGCUGGUCAUGCGUGAUUGCCGGAGAAAUAGGAGGGAGCGGGAGCAGCAAUCAGGGAAUUGGAAUAGUCACCACGCAACAAUGGUACCUGCACAUUUGGGGGCCCCAAAAAUUUGGGGGCCCUGUGCGGUCGCCCAGUUUGGCGCCCCUUGUGGACGGGCCUGUCUCCGAGGCCCUGCACGGCCAGAUCCAAAAGGAGAGAUGCGGAGGGACUCUUGCCCAACUCUGGCAGUCGCCGGGGAAGGGCGGGGAGGGGCUGCCUGCGUGGAAUCUGUAUCCUUCAGCUGUAACGCACAGCCUCCGCUCCCUCAUUUCCGUUUCCCCCCACAUGAGUCACGAGGGCGGCGGCGAGAUGGCCCUCCGCGCUGCCCAUCCACAGACGGCGGGGCCGCUGGAAGACGAGGACCUGCUCGGCGAGAUCCUCGUGCGCCUUCCCCCACUGCCCUCCUCGCUCGUCUGCGCCUCCGCCGUCUCCAGGCACUGGGGGCGCCUCGCGGCGGACCGCGCCUUCCUCCGCCGCUUCCUCACCCACCACUGGAGGCCCCCCAUCCUCGGCGUCUUCGAGAUGCACGGCGGCGAGCUGGUGUUCACCCCCCUCCUCGACGCCCCCGACUGGAUCCCUCGCGAGCGCUUCUCCCUGCGCUUCUGGCACGUGCUCGGUUGCUGGACCCUGCUCAGGUACCGCCACGGCUGCAUCCUCGUCAUCAACCGAGAUCUGGCCCUGCUCCUUUACGUCGUCACCAAGGGAGCGGUGCUCUGCGCUGCCGGCGAUGACCAGGGCCACGUGCACGGAGACUGCCACUCGGGCACCUUCAAGGGGGCUGAGCUAUCCCGAAGUGAGGCGACGGCGGCUUGCCGGCUCGUGGCUGAGGUGGCGCAAGAGCGAGGGGGUCCACGGCAGCAUGGAUGCGGAGGAUCCGCUGCGGCGCGCCGGAGGCAGAUGUACGCCUGCGCAGGCAGAGAAGAGCGGAGGCGCCCAGGAGAGGUCACGCGGCCGUGGCGGCUCACGUCCGGCCUGACGAAGAUCGGUCAAAAAAACUGCCGGGAGAACUUGAAAAACAACGUCACACGCACUGCCGGUAGAUUUAAGGGCCCAUUGUCUGCCGGAACAAUUAAACAGCGGCCCGUAAGCUGCCGGGGCACCGUCUUCGGCGCGAAACCAAAAUUGUAUUGGGCCUUAGCGCGGGCUAGCAAGGAAAAAACGCGCGAUCGACGAAAAUUUUGGGCCGAACAUAACAACAGACGCGCCGACCCUCCAUGGCUCCAACAGACCAUAGAGCCUCCCCCAGAUCUCGACGCCCAAUCCACCCGUACCCUCCACCAGAUCGCCGCCACCGCCCCCAACUAUCCCAGCGCCGGCGGCCGCCCUCCACCUAGAUCACCACUGCCGCCGUCACCCACCACCGCCGCAGCCCUCCGUCGGCCCCAACCACCACUGCAGCCCCUCCGCCGACCCCAACCACCACACUGCUGCCGACCGCCCUUCGUCCCCAACCACGCCGUCGUUGCCCCCAACCACUCCAGAGCGACACCGCCGAGCACCCGAUUGACACGGAGCACCACUAGUGUCGCCGAACCGCUUCACCGGCGGCGACCAUCUUCCGCGGAACGCCUUCCUCACCACCACCCUGAGAGCUUCCUCCCUCGAGCAGGCUGCCUCCUCUUCACUGAAGCACCAAGGGGUCCGCCUCCUCUCCCGUUCUGUGUCCAGAUUGUUUCUCCUGUGAUCAGCGUGCAUCUUCUAUACUUGACACAGACUCGUUGGUUUGCCUGCCAUAGAACCAUUUAUGAGGAGGAUAUGUGUUGCCUUCUCUUAUACCAAAGUAUAAAUGACAAGCUCACGUACAAGAUGUCAAAGUUUCUCAAAGGCAGUUUAACUACCGGUAAUUACAGUUUCACAUGUUGUGACAAUCUGCCGGGGGAAAAUAAACUGCCGGGAAAUACAUGGGCCAGGGAAAAAAAACUGCCGGGAGAAGUUUAUCUUCCGAGAGAAGUAAUCCCCGGCAGCCGUUCUCGUGGCAGUUCUAUCUGCCGGGAGAACCACUGUCCCGGCAGUUUCCCAAACGAACCUUAUAGACACACAAAGAAAAGGAAAGAGUCCCGUUCCUGCCACCCCCCACUUCCAUUGCAAUACCCUAAAAAACAGGCUCGCAUCCCUAUUCCAUUCCACACGGGUAACAUCGGCGGUCAGAUGACCCCCGACUAUGGCCACCGCAGUUCGUCGGUGGUUAUAGCGGCGUCGCUGGAGGAUGAAAACGUCCUCGGUGAGGUCCACGUCCAUCUCUCUCUGCAGCCAUCCUCCCUCCUGCCCACGACGAGGCAGGACAAAUCCUCGCACCUCCCAUUAAUAGAAGAUCUAAGGAGGAGCUGGCCACCAACCAGCCACUCGCACCACCAAAGAACGCCUCCUGCAACGUUUGAUGAAGGCUCACUGCGGCCGCGGCAUAGGCUGGUGGCAUCGAUAGUCUGA
rnacentral:rRNA from 1 species